AGUGAACGCUGGCGGCGUGCCUAAUACAUGCAAGUCGAACGGAGAUUAAGUAGCUUGCUAUUUACUCUUAGUGGCGCACGGGUGAGUAAUAUAUAGCUAACUUGCCCAUUACUAAGGGACAACAGUUGGAAACGACUGCUAAUACCUUAUACUCCGUAUCUAUAUAAGUAGAUACGGGAAAGUUUUUCGGUAAUGGAUAGGGCUAUAUCGUAUCAGCUAGUUGGUAAGGUAAUGGCUUACCAAGGCUAUGACGCGUAACUGGUCUGAGAGGAUGAUCAGUCACACUGGAACUGAGACACGGUCCAGACUCCUACGGGAGACAGCAGUAGGGAAUAUUGACCAAUGGGGGAAACCCUGAAGCAGCAACGCCGCGUGGAGGAUGACACUUUUCGGAGCGUAAACUCCUUUUCUUGGGAAAGAAUUAUGACGGUACCCAAGGAAUAAGCACCGGCUAACUCCGUG
rnacentral:rRNA from 1 species